rnacentral:rRNA from 1 species
AUGACCUUGAACUCGUCGAAGGAGAUGAGCCCGUCGCCGUUCUUGUCCACGCCCUCGAUCAUGCGCCGGCACUGCUGCACUGUCGCCUUCUCGCCAAGGCCGUGGAGCACGCGAGCCAGCUCCGCGGCCGAGAUGUCGCCGCUGCCGUCCGCGUCGAACACCUUGAAGGCCAGCCGCAGGUCCUCCUCGUCGUCGCCGGCCGCCGUGGCGUUCAGCGCCGCGAACUCCUCCAGGCUGAUGAAGCCGUCGCCGUCCGCGUCGGCCUCCGCCAUCAUGCGGGUCAGCUCGUCCUCCGUGGCCGCGUGGCCCAGGCUCUCGAACAGGGCCGCCAGCUCCGGCCGCGAGAUCCGGCCGUCGCCGUUGGCGUCGAACUUGCGGAACACCCGCUCCAUCUCCUCCUCCGCCGACCGCGCCGGGGACCCCGCGCCAGACGCCGGCCGGGUGCCCUCUUCCUCCUGGGGAGUAGGCGGCGGCGACGCGGAGCGCGACUUGGAGGAGGAGCGGCGGCGGAACAGGGCCGGCAUCUUGAUCUUGCCCAUCGUCGUCGCCGUCGUCUGCUCGGCGGCGCUGGCAACGGAGAAGAAACUCUCGGCUCGGAUUGGCUUGGCUCUGGGUCGCUCGAUUCGGUCAAUGGCGUGCUCUGCGGUGGCUGCAGGUUCGUUCCGGUGCGAGACGUCGGGUAUUUAUAGAUGGAUGGAGGAGGCAGCCACCAUUGGAGAGAUUCGGAGCCGAGGAAGGAGCGGAGGAAGGUGUGUGAGUCCGGCUAGCUGUGCGUGCGUGGGCCGCGCUGUAGGCUGCGUGUGGUCUCUGACUGUGGGCCCGUGGUGGAUAGUGAGAGGGGAGGCCCGGUCCCUCGCGCGUCGAUUGCAUCGCGGAUUGCCGGAUUACGCCAACGGCCGUGGGAGACCCUGUCCACGGCUCAUCCCCUUGUUGUGUUGCGGAAUUCUUUUCGGAUGCAUAGGGCCAAGGUACUAG